GAUGAACGCUGGCGGCGUGCCUAAUACAUGCAAGUCGAGCGAACAGACGAGGAGCUUGCUCCUCUGACGUUAGCGGCGGACGGGUGAGUCACACGUGGAUAACCUACCUAUCAGACUGGGAUAACUUCGGGAAACCGGAGCUAACACCGGAUAAUAUAUUGAACCGCAUGGUUCAAUAGUGAAAGACGGUUUUGCUGUCACUUAUCGCUGGAUCCGCGCCGCAUUGUCUAGUUGGUAAGUUAACGGCUUACCACGGCGACGAUGCGUGGCCGACCUGAGAGAGUGAUCGGCCACACGGGAGCUGAGACGCGGUCCAGACUCCUACGGGAGGGAGCAGUAGGGAAUGGUCGGCAAUGGGCGAAAGCCUGGCGGAGCAACGCGGCGUGAGUGAUGAAGGUCUUCGGAUCGUAAAACUCUGUUAUUAGGGAAGAACAGAUGUGUAAGUAGCUAUGCACGUCUUGACGGUACCGAAUCAGGAAGCAACGGCUAACUACGUG
rnacentral:rRNA from 1 species